rnacentral:rRNA from 1 species
UACGGGGGGGGCAAGCGUUGUUCGGAAUUACUGGGCGUAAAGGGCGCGUAGGCGGCCCGCUAAGUCGAACGUGAAAUCCUCGAGCUCAACUCGGGAACUGCGUCCGAUACUGGCGGGCUUGAAUCCGGGAGAGGGAUGCGGAAUUCCAGGUGUAGCGGUGAAAUGCGUAGAUAUCUGGAGGAACACCGGUGGCGAAGGCGGCAUCCUGGACCGGCAUUGACGCUGAGGCGCGAAAGCUAGGGGAGCAAACGGG